GCUCUUGGCAGUUGAGAUUCAGACCUUGACAGUUGUAACCGAUAGACUGGGCUGGGGCAAUGCUGAUGAAAGGCAAAUUCCUGAGAGAAAAAUCACCCAGAUUUUUCAGUGCCUUCUCUAGCUUUCUGGAAGUUGUUAUGAGUGGACCUGACUACCUAGAGAGAGUAAUACAGAAGCUCCCUGCCGAUCACAGCUACCUCAUUACCAUGUUCCUCCAAGAUGGCCGCCCCUGAGGAGAAUCAUCAACUGGGCUUUACGGAAGAGAGAAAUCCAAACGACCAUCAGCAACAAAUGAAAGACUGAAGUUGAAAGGCAAGUCUUCAGAUUUGAAUUUCAAGAUUGCCAAGAAUGACGAGUUGGACUUGGUCUAGUUACUUCCACAGCAGCAGGAGGAACAUGUGUGUGACUCAGGAUAACUGGGGAAGCCUUGGCUAGGCUUUCCUCAUGUCAACCUACCACUCAAAGGGAGAAAACCUCCUGAUCAGAGGAAAUCCAUAAUUUUUGAAUGCUGGCUGAGGUCUGUGACCUCUGACUGAAUGGUUUCCAAGCUCCGAAUUCCUAGGUGAUGUUUUCAUUUGUUCACAGUUGCUGAAGAAGGGAAAGGCUCUCUGAUUUACGUGUAAGCAAAACAAUCUAAACAGUAGGAUAAAAUCAUGUUGGAAUGGAGUUCUGUGUGGAUGCUCCUUUGAACCAAAUCAGUUCCACAACUGACCCUG
rnacentral:lncRNA from 1 species